rnacentral:rRNA from 1 species
UACCUGCAGCUCAAGUGGUGACCGCUAUUAUUGGGCCUAAAACGUUCGUAGCCGGUUUGGUAAAUGCCUGGGUAAAUCGUGUAGCUUAACUAUACGAAUUCCGGGUAGACUGCCAAACUUGAGACCGGGAGAAGCUAGAGGUACUCCUGGGGUAGAGGUGAAAUUCUGUAAUCCUAGGGGGACCACCAGUGGCGAAGGCGUCUAGCUAGGACGGGUUUGACGGUGAGGAACGAAGCCCUGGGGCGCAAACCGGAUUAGAUACCCGGGUAGUCCAGGGUGUAAACGCUGCCUGCUUGAUGUUAGUUGGGCUCCGAGCCCAAUUAGUGCCGGAGAGAAGUUGUUAAGCAAGCUGCCUGGGAAGUACGAUCGCAAGAUUGAGACUUAAAGGAAUUGGCGGGGGAGCACAGCAACGGGUGGAGCGUGCGGUUU